AUGGUGGUCAUGUAAGCCAAUACUCUGAAAUCCCAGCUUUUGGUAGCUCUCAAGAAAGGAGAUGGAGAACCCUAAAGUCCAUCUGCAAUGUUCAUGCAGUACCCCAAGUGUACCGAUGCCACAGUGCUCACCAGCACAUGCUGAUCCCUUUUCUUAUACUGGGGAAGCUGCCACAAAUUGCUCAUGGAAUACAGAAUAUAUAUGACAGGAAUAUGAAAAGGAAGCUCUAUGUCCAAACCAUCCGACGCAGCUUUUAUUAAGCAAAUUCUGCAGCCCAGAGUCUCCACACUCAAUUAAGCACCACAGGUGGAUUGCAACAAAGGGGUAACAGGCACCAUCUAUGAGUAUGGAGCCCUCACCCUCAACGGCGAGGAGUACAUCCAAUUCAAGCAGUUUGCAGGCAAGCACGUCCUGUUUGUCAAUGUGGCCGCCUAUUGAGGCUUGGCAGCUCAGUAUCCUGAACUGAAUGCACUACAGGAGGAGCUGAAGAAUUUUGGUGUCAUUGUGUUGGCCUUUCCCUGCAACCAGUUUGGAAAACAAGAACCAGGAACAAACUC
rnacentral:lncRNA from 1 species